GGGGUGGUAGCUCAGUGGUAGAGUAUGGGAUUGCAGCGGGCUUACGUAAGCUGCAAUUAUCCUAGGGUCCCGUGUUCGAUCCACGGUCGCCCCU